GACCGGAACGUGUCGCCGGCGACACGGCCAAAUUUGCAGUACCAUAAUUCCGCCACAAGUGGCGCUAUCUGAAAAAUUCCAACGGUUUCUGAAAGGGAAGACGUUGCACUUUCCAGCCAAUAUCGGGUUACUACGGUAAUUUCACAGCUGCAGCUGCAGAGAGUGUAAUUAAUCCGGGGGGCACUCGUCGUUUAAUAGACGAUAAAUUUCGAAAAUAACUUGCGGGAUAUUGAAAGUUCCAGUUGUUAUGGAUACAUGGACCCCAGAGCUUGGCUGUGAGCUGCUUCGUGACCAGCACGCUGCGGGCCCUGAUGUUUCCGUGAAGGAGAUCUUUGCUGUGGAGGAACUCCUAACAAUGCAGCAAAACAAGAACUUCAGGCUCCUCCACCACCGUGACCAGGGGAGCUCGAAUCGAGACCACGCCGAGCAGCUCCGGCAGGAAUGGAUGCGGACCAAGCUGAGAGAGGAAAGACGCGAAGCCCAGGAAGUCAUGUCUCUCAUCGGCAUCAGCUGAGUCUGUGGAGGAAAGAGAUGUAUCCUCCUGGUGGUCAUUUUCUUUCGUGGACGGAUUCGGUCGACCUUCUCUGGGCAGUAGCGCAGCAGCAGAAUGAAGACCAGAGUGACCAGAAAGCUGGCCAGCAGGAGGACGGGCACCACGAUCACCUCCUGUUCAUAAACACGGAUCACUGCAAGAAGUAAUGCAACGCUGCUGGGACCGGUCAUGACUCACCGACAUCAACUGGUUCUCCUGCCCUGUCAGGUAAACAAAUGUCAGCAUCCUCUGGUUAUAUAAGCAAACAAAGCUGGGAAUGUAUCAGAGGUUAAACUUCAUAUGGAGGGCACGACAACCUACUGUUUUCCUUCAAGA